UACGUAGGGUCCGAGCGUUGUCCGGAAUUACUGGGCGUAAAGAGCUCGUAGGUGGUUUGUCGCGUUGUUCGUGAAAACUCACAGCUUAACUGUGGGCGUGCGGGCGAUACGGGCAGACUUGAGUACUGCAGGGGAGACUGGAAUCCUGGUGUAGCGGUGGAAUGCGCAGAUAUCAGGAGGAACACCGGUGGCGAAAGGCGGGUCUCUGGGCAGUA
rnacentral:rRNA from 1 species